GAGGGAGGGGGCAAUGUAUUAAUUUGGGGGAAGGAGGGGGAACUGUAUUAAUACAGUGCCCCCUCCCUUCCUCAAAUUAAUACAGUGCCCCCUCCCUC